rnacentral:RNase_P_RNA from 2 species
AGCAUUGGUUAACAGCUAUUUUAAAUAGAGGAAAGUCCGCUCUAGCAUUACCUGCGAUGGUAAUAGUGAUCAUGUCAAAUCUAAUAAAUUUGAGCUUAGACGACUAGUGCCACAGAGACGAGAAUAGUGAAACGCGGUAAACUCCAUGAGCUAGAAACCCAAAUUUUGGUAGGGGAAUUGAAUAAAACUAACUGAAGUUUAAUUCAAAAUCGUAAGAUUAGAUAAAUUGUUAACACUUUUUUAAAGUACAGAAAGCGGCUUAUAGAU